GGAGGAUUUGGAGCCAGUCGUCAGCUGAGGUCCAACCGCAGGGGACACAACCCAGAACCAGACCCAGAACCAGAACCAGCUCCUUUGGAUCUGAACACUCGGUAUUUGUGGGGGCAGUGGAUGGCUAAAAGAAGAGAGGAACUCAGAGCUGUUGAAGAAGAUCCUCAUGUCUGACUUUCUUCAAUUCCUAGCGGAUCCUGACGGAUUGGUUCUUGAUGUGGUCCGUUUGUCUGCAAUUACAAAAUCUGACACUGGAACCACUUUGUGAAGGCUUUGGUGCUGAGCCUCGUUCGACUGGUGUGAACGUGAUGACACAUCAGUCGUAUUUCAUUUCAUGUCAUUCUUGUUAAUAAAAAGCAUUUGAAGAAAAAGCACAAAAAAACCCAAAAACAACCAAUAAAUAUUGUUAAAAUGUGCGUUUUGAAAUUCUAACCUUCGUCAUUAUGUCGCAGGUUUUCUCAGGACAAAAACAAAGUCUGAGUGGAGUAACAUUUUGAGGUGAGGACAAUUGUUAAUGUGGUGGGAGGACAGAGUGAUUACUGGGGUUAGUGUGGUUGUGGUUUGGGCUCAGAUGGACCCUCAGGAAAUGAUGUCAAUUCAUCAUAUUGUCCCUCAAAGAAAAUCAAAGUGUGUGUGUGUGUGUGUGUGGGUGUGUGUGUGUUGUGUGAUGAGGAGAUCCCCUGGGAACCAGCAUCUUCAUCAUCACUCUCCUCUAGGGAUGUAACGAUGCAUCAAGUGAUUAACAAUCAAUACAAAUACGUGACAAUUCUCAUCGGUUGAAAUCAAAAACGAAUCGCCCGUCAAGGUCUAAGGAGCAGCUGCGUUAUCUGAAAAAGACACUGGUCAUACCAGGACACUACACAAACUAGUACAGUAGGUGGCAGUAUGCUCAGGUCCCUGUGUAGGCUUAGAGACAUUCAGGUGUUGGAACAGAAUGUGGAAAGAACUGACAUCGUAUCGUGAGUUGAAUACAUCGUAACAUUCUUACUCUGCUCUCAGUGUAAUUUUCCUGAUAUCACUGGAAAACAUUAAAAAGUCGCAGUCUUUCUGGUAAAAUACACCCUUCAAAUAUUUCAUGUGCACGGAAUUAAAAUUGAAAAAACUGUUUGUAGUUAGAUGUAAAAUAAAUCAAGAAGUGUCAAGACAUUGAUAUUAAAAAAAAAAGAAACGAAAAAAAAAUGGACCUUCUCAGUUCCUAAUUGUGAAGAGCAGCUCUAAGCUGGUUGUUGUUCUACAGGAAGUUCAGUUCAAAUGUCCAGCUGUCGCUGAGUGAAACAUCUGGAGCGUGACGACUGGAGUGGAGGGUUGGCGCUCCUCUAACGGGGUCCUGUGGUUACAUCUCACAGGGGGGAGAAAGGUGGAACAUUUCAACUGAGUGUAAUGAAAUCAGACAUGCAGCAGGGCUGCGAGA